GUUCUUACAAUUACCAGUUAAAGUUAAUCAAAACUUUACCAGACAUUGUAAGAACGG
rnacentral:pre_miRNA from 1 species